UUGGAUACCUAAAAACUGUGGUUUUUAAAUAGAAUUGGCAACAAACUCAAGAAAAGCAAAUUUGUUGACUUCUCUUGCCUAUUAGCAUGCAAUUCCUUGGCAGCUCCUGACACAAGCAGAUUUCUUAAAAAUUUUGUACUUUUUUGAGUAUUGAGACGCCUAGACUGCAAUCGGUUCGCUCACUUGACUUGAAACGUGAGCUUCAACCUUUGCUGAUUUAAAAAGUUCAUCAAGGACUUCAGACAGAGUUGGAUGUGCAUGUACAGCAAAUUUUAUAUCCUGAAUGCGGGUCCCCAACGCUAUAGCAUUGGAUGCUUCAUGAAUGAGAUCAGCAGCAUGCAACCCAAAAAUAUGAACUCCGAGUAUCUCUCCAGUAUCAGGUCUGUAUAUCAACUUAGCAAGCCCCUCUCCUUCAUUUUCUGCAAGGGCCUUUGUGUUGGCCUUAAAACUUGUCUUGGCAACACUUACUUCAAAUGCUUCUGUUUCACCUUUCUCCCUUGCUUGAGGCUCUGUCAAUCCAACCAUGCUGAUUUCAGGAUGAGUGAAACAAGCUGCUGGAAUGCUUAAAUGAUUUAGCACAUGAUCUCUUCCAGUGACUUGUUCAACCACUGAAAUUCCUUGUGCACUGGCCGCAUGAGCAAGCAUCAUUUUACCAUUCGCAUCACCAAUACAAUACAAGUGAGGUACCAGAUUUCCGUCAGCAUCAAUAACACGCAUACGAUCAUCAACAGGGACAAAACCACGUUGUGUCACAACAUUGAUAUUCUCCAAACCAAGACCAUUUGUGAAUGGAGCUCUUCCGGUUGCAAUUAAAGCUGCAUCAACCUCCAAAGUAUCUUUGUGUUCCUUGGUCUUGGCAUCAAUAAGCUCAAUAGUGACAGGUUU
rnacentral:misc_RNA from 1 species